UGCAGCCUGGAAAGAAGACAAUUACAUAGACAUGACAUUUCACUGACAUUGAACACGGUCACGGUCGAAUUAAACGUUUUAUUUGGAUCAAGAUAAAAGACUCGUCGAAGAGACGGAGAAAUCUCUUCUUCUUUCGCGACAGCAUUCCCGGCAUUACUAUUAAUGGCUAUUCGUUUAUGGAAUAUCACUUUCGAACUGGCCGUCGAUAAUCAAGCAAUACGUUCAUCGACAAUGACCGGCAUUUUACAGUUUCGCCUUUGCUGUUCUCGAUUUCUUUCGUAUCUAGUGAACGGUACCGGCAUAACAGAUAUUGCCUUAUACACCGAAUAAACACCCCAUAUUUUUGCGGAUGAUAAAAAGCAAAUGAACAGGUCACGGUUGUCCUGAAAUAACAAGAAGUUAUGCCAAUCCCUGAGAUAUCGUCUGGAGCAUUCAGUGUUCGUCCAAUCGGUAAAUGGCAAUCGAUUCUUUCAAGGAUCUUGAAGACGCUCCCAACGAUCGGUCGAUCACCAUUCGUCGAUCGUGACACUCACUACUUACUCCAGAUACGAUGGGAUGUCACCGUUGUCUAACCGAACGCACCCCUUCCGAGAACAAUCAAACGGCGCUUACGAUCGCCACCAAAGAUAAAUUAUACCGUAGCCGAGAGUUAUUUGAAUAGAAACUGACCGCGCAUCCCGGGCGAAUCCUCAUAUUUUCUCGCAAUGCCGCCCGUCGGGCUCGGGCUGCUUACUCUUGUUCCCUAAGUGCAGGAAAACGUAAGUUACUUCGCCCAAUCAGCGGAACGCCGUAGUUAUAUAGGCGCGUAUUCCUCCCCCAGUGCUAUCGUCGGAGAUGGUUCGCGAUGUGCUGGGCCAGCUGUUGCGAAGGUGGUGGUAAAGUCGUCCUGGUGGAGGAGGCAUUUCGCGUUGCUGGAGGAAAGGAACUCACGAUGGUGGUGGGUUCCAACGGACACGGGUUACGGAAAGCUCGAAUCUCGUGUAGCGAUGGGCCCGAUCUCCUACUUGUUCAUUCUAUCUGAACUAGAAGUAAUGAUAUCUACAUGGCAGUGAAAUUUUAUGAAGGAUGACCGAAUUAAGAGACUACAUUCAAAACCAUAGUACAUAUUUAACGUGUAUCAUGAAAUCUGAAGAGCAUUUUUAAUUAUAAGGAAUUCUGUAUGUCUUUACAGAAUUGUAAAGGAUUAUAAAAGGAGGAGAAGAGUAUCCGUGGUAUUAAUCUCUACAUCGUAUCAAUAGGAAAUUGAUCCCAUCGCUACGUCCAUUCUCCUUCCUCCUCGCCUUUGUCCACCUCCUACGAACCUGGCGAUCUUACUUCGUGCCACAGUGGGCCCAUCGUUCCGGAGAAAGUGAUCGG